UUGCUGGACUGGCUAUCUGAAAAUUUAUCAGUAUCUCUUGACUCCUGUAACAAGGCUCUUAUGUGAUGUUUCGCAGCUAAGGUGGAUCGGUCACCAUCCAUAACCACUGCAGUUCUUAUUUUUUGCAAUGGUUCUUUCUCAAUCAACAGCUGCGCUGAUUCAAGUAGUAAGAGUUGACCCUUCCCAGCGUUUAUACUGCUG
rnacentral:misc_RNA from 1 species